AAUACAAGCAAAAAGGUCACGCUCACCCAGCUGAUUUUCUUAUUUUUUAUUUUCUUCUUAUAAAGGAGAGAAGUUUUAGCGGUCCGUCAAAUAGUUAAGUAACAUGAGUCUGGGAAUAUGAACAGAACAGUGGUAUGCUCACACAGGCGAUCGAAUUUACUACGGACUCACACCCAAAGAGCCUCAGAGAUGGACCGCGACCGCAUCCUCUCGCCGGUCUGGAGAGUGAUGCGCAGCUUCUCAGGGACGAGGAGCGAGGGUCGGAGCCAGGAGGACCCCCUUGUGUUCAGCCCGCUGCUUCAAAACUUCCGCGCUGUGAUCUUCACUGAACCGAAGCUUGUGGCCAUGGUGCUCCAGCUCGCCCUGUUUCCGAGCCUCCCUCCUGAUCAAGUCUUUAAUCUGGUGCUGAUGAUGAAGGGACGCGGUCUCUCGCGCGGGACAGGUUUGGGUGCCCAAGUGCGAUGAGGUCUGUCCAGCUCCGGGGGAGAACUUGAUCACCAAAAACCUCAACGAGAAGUUGGGAGAAAAGCCGACUAACUCUGGUAGACCCACAAUACGCACGUUCUGUCCCCUAACGUUACUUCUCCUUCCAAACCCGACAGUUUAGACUUCAGCGAAUUGUUAUCUUCUUGCAGUAAAGAGCACAUAGCUUCAAGUUGCUCCAGGCGUCCGCAGAUAGCUUCCUAAUUCGACUCGAGAUCGGUAAUACGUUGUCCCUGUCCCGAGACAGCAGCCUGGAUCUUGUCUAUCUUGGUGUCCAUGCUGGCGAACGAUGACCUAAACUCGGCGGCUCUGUGCUGCUGGAGCUCCGCCGAAAUGGAUGUAGCCGAAAAGCUAACAUUAGCAUCACUGCUAACGCUGUCCGAGGACGUCUCUGACUCUGCACUCUUUGCAUUUUUCGUGGAUCUGGGUAUAAUUCCGAACGCAGUGUUGGUGUUAUCGGCAAUAUAUUCACAGCUAAACGAUGAAAGUAGGGUUUAAACAGGAUAUUCAGAAAAGGCAUUCAGCGACGAAAGGCAUCAUCAUCGCUAUGAUUUGCACAUUCUUCGAAGCCUUCAAUGUGCCGGUGUUCUGGCCCAUCCUCGUCAUGUAUUUCAUCAUGCUCUUCUGCAUCACCAUGAAACGGCAGAUCAAGGUUCACAAGUGCACGCUUUUCUUUACCAGCUAUUUUAGUUCACAAAGCUGAGUUACCUAAAAAUAGAGGUUCAUUUGCACUGAAACUGAAGUUCUUUGUCACUGUUUGUGUUUCCUCUGCAGCACAUGAUCAAGUAUAGAUACCUGCCCUUUAACCUGGGGUUAAAAUGUAUGUGUGUGUGUGUAUAUAUAUAUAUAUAUAUAUAUAUAUAUAUUUUAUGGUUAGCAUGUUUUAUUUAUUUAUUUAUUUUUUUUUUGGACAAUUGCAUUUUUACUGUAUUAAAUUAAUCUUCAUCAAAACAAAUUAAUAGAUUUGUUAAUUCCUGAUUAAAGACAUUGCAUGUUUUAGGGUUUCUUGUGCUGCUGGUUAAGAGAAAACAAGAUGAUUUUAAUAACUAAGUAUACAUUUUUCACUCCAAAUGCUAUUAAAAGGCUGUGUCCCUUCACUGCUCUUUACAUUUAAU
ensembl:lncRNA